rnacentral:rRNA from 1 species
GACGAACUUUGGCGGCGUGCUUAACACAUGCAAGUCGAACGGAAAGGCCCUGCUUUUGUGGGGUGCUCGAGUGGCGAACGGGUGAGUAACACGUGAGUAACCUGCCCUUGACUUUGGGAUAACUUCAGGAAACUGGGGCUAAUACCGGAUAGGAGCUCCUGCUGCAUAGUGGGGGUUGGAAAGUUUCGGCGGUUGGGGAUGGACUCGCGGCUUAUCAGCUUGUUGGUGGGGUAGUGGCUUACCAAGGCUUUGACGGGUAGCCGGCCUGAGAGGGUGACCGGCCACAUUGGGACUGAGAUACGGCCCAGACUCCUACGGGAGGCAGCAGUGGGGAAUAUUGCACAAUGGGCGGAAGCCUGAUGCAGCAACGCCGCGUGCGGGAUGACGGCCUUCGGGUUGUAAACCGCUUUCGCCUGUGACGAAGCGUGAGUGACGGUAAUGGGUAAAGAAGCACCGGCUAACUACGUGCCAGCAGCCGCGGUGAUACGUAGGGUGCGAGCGUUGUCCGGAUUUAUUGGGCGUAAAGGGCUCGUAGGUGGUUGAUCGCGUCGGAAGUGUAAUCUUGGGGCUUAACCCUGAGCGUGCUUUCGAUACGGGUUGACUUGAGGAAGGUAGGGGAGAAUGGAAUUCCUGGUGGAGCGGUGGAAUGCGCAGAUAUCAGGAGGAACACCAGUGGCAAGGCGGUUCUCUGGGCCUUUCCUGACGCUGAGGAGCGAAAGCGUGGGGAGCGAACAGGCUUAGAUACCCUGGUAGUCCACGCUGUAAACGGUGGGUACUAGGUGUGGGGUCCAUUCCACGGGUUCCGUGCCGUAGCUAACGCUUUAAGUACCCCGCCUGGGGAGUACGGCCGCAAGGCUAAAACUCAAAGGAAUUGACGGGGCCCCGCACAAGCGGCGGAGCAUGCGGAUUAAUUCGAUGCAACGCGUAGAACCUUACCUGGGUUUGACAUGGAUCGGGAGUGCUCAGAGAUGGGUGUGCCUCUUUUGGGGUCGGUUCACAGGUGGUGCAUGCCUGUCGUCAGCUCGUGUCGUGAGAUGUUGGGUUAAGUCCCGCAACGAGCGCAACCCUUGUUCACUGUUGCCAGCACGUUAUGGUGGGGACUCAGUGGAGACCGCCGGGGUCAACUCGGAGGAAGGUGGGGAUGACGUCAAAUCCUCAUGCCCCUUAUGUCCAGGGCUUCACGCAUGCUACAAUGGCUGGUACAGAGAGUGGCGAGCCUGUGAGGGUGAGCGAAUCUCGGAAAGCCGGUCUCAGUUCGGAUUGGGGUCUGCAACUCGACCUCAUGAAGUCGGAGUCGCUAGUAAUCGCAGAUCAGCAACGCUGCGGUGAAUACGUUCCCGGGGCU